CUUUCCUUUCAGAGAGGUUCUUUCUGUUUGUUAUUUAGGUUGGCACUUACGAUUGUGGAUUUAUAACACAGGAUAUUUUAAAUAAUACAAAUGAACAGCCAGAUGGAGAGGCACAUCAGACAAGGUCUGGAAGGAUUUCAAGCACAGGAGCUUCUGUCCCCGUGAAGUUGUGGUUUUGGGGUACAUGAGCAGAGCAUGCGAGACAGUUGCGUAGAUGGAGUUUCGCAUUGUCGCCCAGGCUGGAGUGCGGUG
rnacentral:lncRNA from 13 species